GUCGCCUCUCAGCCUUUUGGCUAAGAUCAAGUAUAGUAUACGUUCUUAUCAGUUUAAUAUUUUCUUUAUCCAUUCAGCCUUCAAUGGACACCUACAUUGAUUCCAUAUCUUGGUUAUUAUGAAUAGUGAUGCAAUGAAUAUGCAAGUUCAGGUAUCUCUUCCAUAUGUAAAUUUCAUUACCCUCA